AAGCAAAAGGAAGGUGUCUUUGCUUUCUGCCUAACUGAUGCGUACAUAAAGUUCUUCAAUUUCGGACAGACAGACAAUAGGGGAAACCGAGCAAGACGCGAAGGCGGAAGCAGUGAAGCAAAGCAAUCCAAAAAGAUCACAUCACAUCAAUCUUUUAAGCUAAGGUUUCCUUCCUCCGGAGAAAGACAAGAACCGUUGUGAUUGCACCGGCGAGUGGUUCCGAUGGCGGUGCUCCUGGCGAUGGUGGUGGACGGCCUUGGGGUGUUCGCGAGGACGAUCUGGGGGCUGCAGCAGCGGCGCCUCUCCUCCACCUUCGAGGCCGUGAGCUCCGCCGCCGCGUCCCUCGCGGCUGCCUUCCUGCUUUGCAUCGUGUCCUUACACCAGCAUCGGCGUGGGGACCUCGGCCUCCCUUUCAUCUGAUCCGACUCCGUCUCACUUGAUAUCGGAUGCCAGAUCCAUCUCACCUGUCUUUAUCCCAUGUGUAACCAACUCCAUUGCUGCUUCAACGAGCCCCGGGUUAUGGUGGCUCUGUCUCACGCAGUUCGUCGAUAAUGAGGAGUUCAUCAGCGACGCUGUACAGAUUUGUUCGUCACUUUUCUUUUGAAUUCCUCCAUUUGAUGGAAUCAGAUUGUCCGCUAGAGUCGAAGCAAGAGAGGGUUUUCCUUUUCUAAGUGGAAAACCAGACGCAGCUGUCGCCGGUAGUCGACCAUCACAAACAAGAAACUGAUGUUGUUAUGCAUCCAUAUCGAAUGGUUACACCGAUAAUAUGAAAUGCUAGUCUUGUAGUCGGUGCAUGAUUUCCGACAUCUGCAUAUUCACAGAUAUACAACAUCGGUCACGUACUCGGUCGUGGGAGUCAGAUGCAGAUGAAUAGCGCCGAAUAAGGACGAGUCGCCAAAGAAAUGUGUAGUACUCCAUAAAGAAGUUUUAUUCAUAAGAAACAGUUAUUCCAAGAUACAAUGAUUGAUAUGUAUUCGCAGUCCCUCCCUUACCUAAAGAUCCAACAGUUGUAAUGCAUUUUGAACUAACAAAAGCCUCCAAACAAGGAAGCUUUGUACUAGUGCAAUUUUGAACAAACCACGUCUAUAAUUUAAUUAAUCAAUCGAUUAAUUUAAUUUAAGAA